CUGGCCUGAGCCUGUCUAGCUCUGGGAUCUUCCCAGCGGGGCCUGGAGGCUCUUGUCUCUCUCCCGCGGGUCAGGCAGAGUGUGUGAAGGAGAGGACAGCUGCCCUCCCUGGAGUCUUCAGAAUGGAGAGACCCGGCCCGUGCCAGCAGCCGCUGUCAGCAUGACCUCGGGCCCUCUGCCCCAGCAUGUGGGCUGGGUCCCCAGCAUCUUGCUCUGAACGUGGGUCUUCCUGAGGACAGACCACACCUGCUGGUGGCUCUUCUCCAGCAGGCCCAGGAGUUGGGAGAGCACAGAAUGCUGUGUGCAUCCUGGGGACUUGGGGCACAGGUCAUCUCCAGCCAUCCAUCCUUCCACAGAGCAGACAGGAAGGGUGGUGCGUGGCUCCCAGCUCCCCCCUGAGUUCCUCUCCUCUUCUGGGACCCUCCAGGGCAGCGAGAUUAACACAGUCCGUGAUCACCUUGUCAACAUCUGCACUCAGGGCCACAGCAGCCUCUGCUGUGGAGGUGCCCAGCGUGGCUGAACAGUACACGGAGCCUUGGAGGACAGUGGCUGUCAUCUUGGAGAUUUCCCAGAGUCUUCUUUUGCUAGGGCAGUGGCUCUCCACUCCUCUCAGACUGAAGGACAGACAGACACGCAGCACCGGAGGGUCACUCAGGCUGGUCCCCCUCCCUGGCCUCCCGCCUCCCCCACCCUGCCCUCCAGUGCAGAGACAGUCAAUAAACGUGGGCUAGGGAAAGCACAAGGCAGGAAGGAGGAAGGAUUCUCAGCUCUGGGGCUUAGGAAGGGGACAGUGGAAAGAUGACCUUUCCAGAACUUCUCAGGGAAACUGUCCCUUCUCCCAGCUCACUCCCCGGUCCUGCGGAGGGAGCAGCCUCUCUGCCCUCUCCCUGUCCUCUUCUGGAGGAGUGACAGGGCAGAUGGCAUUGGCGAUGGAAACCCAAUGUCCUGGGCAGAGCCAGCCUCGACUGGAACUCAGCUCCCAGGCCCCACCUUUUCCCUCCCACCGCCUCUGCCGAGUGCACCCCGGACUCCUGGACUCCUCGGAGCUCAGAGCAGAGAGUGAACAGAGUAACUCUGCUCUGCUCGGCAUGUGCCACCUUGGAUCAUGCAUGACACAACACUCCAUCCUCUGAUCCCCUGCCAGCCCAAACCCCCAAGCUCCCCCAUCUGUCACAGGAAUCUGGCCUCUGGUCACCAGCGGAGCUGCGAAUGGAUCUGCCCAGACUCGUCCACUGGAAUUAGAGUUCGAGGCUGCUGGCUCGCGGGGUCUUUUCUUUGCUGCUAUGAAUUCAUUUUUGUGUUUUGUCUUCAUGUUUUUAAUAUUAGUAUAACACAUAUCCAUUAAACAAGUAAAGCUGGAAGAAACAUUGAAGUGUAAGAAAGGCAGGGAAACCCCUGUCACCUGUCACCCUACCACAGAGGCUGUGGUGUGAUUCGUCACUUUGACCACUUUCCUUUGUCCCAGUUUGGCUGAUCUCCGCUGACACACGUCACAUUAGCUUUGGGCUGCAAGGGCUCCAGGCCCCUUGGCCUCCCAGCUGGUGCCCUGUCACCCUGGGGAACUUCUCAGCCUCAGGGCAUUUUUAGAUGCAGGGAAAAGACAGUAGCUUUAAAAUAAGGCGCCGAAUUCAGGCCGAAAUUCCUUAAGCCCACAGGUGAGAUUUGAACUGUUUUUCGGGGGUGGCUGAAGACAAAUUAGAUACAUAGGGGAUGAUGAGUUCUGUUUUUAGGGACUAUGGCAGGCUAAAUUCUCGGGAUGAACGCUCCUAUUGAAAACAGCUAAAAUGGCUGGAUAAAAUAUUUUUUAAGUCUUAAAAGCACUGAGAGUUGACAGAUAGUCGAGAGUGACCAGGACAGAAUCCGUAAGAAGCCAGACUGCAGUGGUCCAGGAAGCGGCCCUUGCUCUGACAGUGUUUUCUUGUCCCAGCCACCUUGCACCUGGAGCACGGCAGCUUUGCAGAGCAUGGGGCCUCCCGAUAGGAAGUGAGGACCCUGAAGGUCUACACCACCGGGUAAGAAGGAAGGAGCAGACCAGAAGUCAACCCCGCCCCAUACUGACACUCCAGGGUCUGUCCAUCCAGCAAGGUGCCCGGGCACCGAGCACAGGGUGGUCAUGUGGGGUGCAGGCUUCUCGGAAAUUGUGAACACACUCAGUCCUCCUGCGUGUUUGGAGCCCGAAUUCCCAGCCCUGGGGGGAUCAAGAGACCUCGGGCUGUGAAUUUGCUUCCACACUAGCUCAGGUCAGUAGUGUCCUAGGAGACCCUUGGCAGAAGCAACACACAUCCUCUCUGGAGAGAGCCACCUUUAUUCUGAGUGUCCCACAGGUAAUUCCUCAAGCACAGUGACCAUGGCACUGUUGAGUACAUGUGGAAACAAGUCAGCCUGAGGACAAACCAGAACCACCGAUAACAGAAACACUCGUCCAGACGUCAGCUGAUGUGGUCUGAGGACACAGAUUAUCAAGAACGAGGCUGGCUCUGUUAAGGAAGAGACGAGCUAAUAAACAUCCCCAGAGAAGAGAAGACUGCAAAACUGUGGCUAGUUAAUUUGAAAAACAAACAGAAUUUCUGAAAAUGAAAACUGAAGUCAUAGAAAUUUAAAACUCAACGAAAGGGUUUAACAGUCGAUUAAGCAAGUUUAAAAGGGUUUUAGGGUCAGCAAACCAGACACGCAUUUAGAGGAAACGACCCACGGCGAGAUUCACAUAAGCACCUAAAAUGAAAGAUACAGAAAAGAAGCUUAAAAAUACAGAGGAUAUGUCAGAGUUUGCCACAUCCUAUCCUUUGCUUAAAAACCUUUUUCUGGGUCCGCGUGCAGCCCAGUGAUGACCCAGCCGGCUGCAGACGCCCCCGGGCUCCUGAGCUGUGGUCUCGUGGGUCCCAGCCGGGCCCCCCUGCCCUCCACAGCCAGGCCAGCGAAGGUGCCACCUGUGGGCCGGGCCUGUCCCCCUUCUCCUCCCCCCAACAUCUUUGAACUGAAAAAUAAUAAUAAAAAUAAAUUUAAAAAAUUA